UGGGGAAUAUCGGACAAUGGAGGAAACUCUGAUCCAGCAAUUCUGUGUGUGUGAAGAAGGUUUUAGGACUGUAAAACACUUUUAGUAGGGAAGAAAAAAAUGACGGUACCUACAGAAGAAGCAACGGCUAAAUACGUGCCAGCAGCCGCGGUAAUACGUAUGUUGCGAGCGUUAUCCGGAAUUAUUGGGCUUAAAGGGCAUCUAGGCGGUAAGACAAGUUGAAGGUGAAAACCUGUGGCUCAACCAUAGGCUUGCCUACAAAACUGUUGAACUAGAGUACUGGAAAGGUGGGUGGAACUACACGAGUAGAGGUGAAAUUCGUAGAUAUGUGUAGGAAUGCCGAUGAUGAAGAUAACUCACUGGACAGAAACUGACGCUGAAGUGCGAAAGCUAGGGGAGCAAACAGG
rnacentral:rRNA from 1 species